GACGAACGCUGGCGGCGUGCUUACCACAUGCAAGUCGAACGAUGAAGUUCCUUCGGGAAUGGAUUAGUGGCGAACGGGUGAGGAUCACGUGAGAAACCUGCCUUUCUUUUUGGGAUAACACCGGGAAACCGGUGCUAAUACUGGAUACUCCGUCUUGGCGGCUUCCCCAAGCCGGGAAAGAUUUUUCGAUGAAAGAUGGUCUCGCGGCCUAUCACCUAGUUGGUGAGGUAACGGCUCACCAAGGCAACGACGGGUAGCCGGCCUGAGAGGGCGACCGGCCACACUGGGACUGAGACACGGCCCAAACUCCUACGGGAGGCAGCAGUGGGGAAUAUUGGGCAAUGGGCGCAAGCCUGACCCAGCGACCCCGCGUGAGGGAUGAAGGCCUUCGGGUUGUAAACCUCUUUCAGUAGGGAAGAAGCGAAAGUGACGGUACCUAAAGAAAAAGCACCGGCUAACUAUGUG
rnacentral:rRNA from 1 species